GAUUCUGAAAAGUUGCUCUUGCAUUUUCCUUGUAAAGAAAUCAAUAAUCAGUGAUUAAUAAAAAAAACUAUAGCUUCCACAAUAGCCUAUAGAAUCAAAGGAUUUGAUAAUGUGUAAAUGAUUGUUUUUUGGUAGAUCGCAUCAAUGACGACGUCAAUGACUUCGGCGAAAGAGGUGGGUUUCCAAAGUUCAAUCACGAUGGACGGGUAUUUAUUUAUGUCGUCUUCUCAUCGGAUGAUGCAGCAAAUAAAGGAUCAUCGUUUUGCUGCGACAGCAAUCAGAGUAGCACGGUAGACAAUCGGCAGUUUCGAAAAAACGUGGUUUGCACAACAACAGUAGGAGCAUAAUCGAAGUCAUUCUGUAUCACAAGGAGCAUCGCAUACCUCCAUCGUGUACCGACCGACUCGGGGAAAGAAAACAUCCUUCUCGCUACCAAAAUGUUCAUUGGUCGAACCACCAUAUAUGCCGCUCCCCUGGUCUGACAUAAACCCACAACUGGAUUAGUAUCUAUUUCAUUGACAAGCAUAGUCGAAAAAAGCAGCGAUGAGAAAAACAUCUGCACAGACAGCCGCAGUUGGAUCGUAGCAACUCCCGCAAACAAAGUGCCUAAUCGGUCACAAGUUCGACGGUCCAGCUACCAGACGAACAUUAGGCACUUAGGCAAAACAGUGUCCAACGUCGUUGUUAUAAAGUAAUGUAACAGUAACUCGUAGAGUCGGGCUACCAAGGAUAUCGGUCCCAUCUUCGGAUUGAUUGCGUAGCAUCAAUAAGUUGAUAGCAGCUGCCAUUGUCUACGGUCUGGAUAAAAAUACUGCCAGCGAGUGCAACGUUAUGCUUAUCAAUCUUGAUGGUGAUACUAUUGAUGAGUCACGCUUGGAGGAAGGAUGGGGAGUUUCCUAAAGUGUAACAGUUCAUAUAAAAUGUUCGGAUACUUUAUACAAAAAGUGUGACAUAGAUGGAGGGGGCUGACCAAUUUUUGUGAUACGUAUACGUAAUGGAUCUUCCCUAAUAAGAAUCUGCCUUCAAUGAAGUGUGUCGUUGGCGUCGUUCCUGCACGAUAUGCGAACGCAUAAGCGUAUUCUUUCGUAAUCGACACGGGCCAGCGGGCCAGCGUUUGAAAAUGACUUGUUGUUUGAGGGAAGCAUUUUUCACGACUAUCCGUGCCCGUUUCAAAGAAUCAAACGCCGAUAUUUUGCCGUGAUGAGGCCGUUACCUAUGGUGCUACUAGCUGCCAUACUGCACAAGAACAAAUUUGAGAAAGUGGAGACCUGUUACUUGACGUUUACAUUGCUGCAUGGUGUUGAAACAAGCAUACCAAUACUUUCAACACAAACUCGGUGUGAUGAUAUUCAAAGUUGGCCAAGUGGCCAAGGACAAUCAGCAUGGCAAUGUAACAGCGUCAAGUGGCAGUGACGUUGGUAGCGAGGACAUCGAACGCAUGGUAAACGAACGAGAUAUAUCGCUCCGAUGACGAACAUCAAAAGGAAACCAUUACCGCUAAGAACGAUCCGGGAUUCAAUUGAUAAUCCAACCGACAAGAAAAUAUUCUAUUGAUAAGCUAUUACAUAUGAAAAUUGCUGACUCAGUUCGGAAGAAGUCGGUAAACCUGCUCUUCCAUUCGCGAUCCUAUCUAUUAUUCAUAAUUAUAAAAAUAGUAAAUUUUAAUUUAU